UACGUAGGGUGCAAGCGUUAAUCGGAAUUACUGGGCGUAAAGCGUGCGCAGGCGGUUUUGUAAGCCAGAUGUGAAAUCCCCGGGCUUAACCUGGGAAUGGCAUUUGGGACUGCAAGGCUGGAGUUUGGCAGAGGAGACUGGAAUUCCUGGUGUAGCAGUGAAAUGCGUAGAUAUCAGGAGGAAUACCGAUGGCGAAGGCAGGUCUCUGGGCUAUAACUGACGCUCAUGCACGAAAGCGUGGGAGCAAACAGG
rnacentral:rRNA from 1 species